rnacentral:rRNA from 1 species
GACGAACGCUGGCGGCGUGCUUAACACAUGCAAGUCGAACGGAAAGGCUCCAGCUUGCUGGAGUACUCGAGUGGCGAACGGGUGAGUAACACGUGGGUAAUCUGCCCUGCACUCUGGGAUAAGCCUGGGAAACUGGGUCUAAUACUGGAUAUGACCUUUCUCCUCAUGGGGUUUGGUGGAAAGUUUUUCGGUGUAGGAUGAGCCCGCGGCCUAUCAGCUUGUUGGUGGGGUGAUGGCCUACCAAGGCGACGACGGGUAGCCGGCCUGAGAGGGUGAUCGGCCACAUUGGGACUGAGAUACGGCCCAGACUCCUACGGGAGGCAGCAGUGGGGAAUAUUGCACAAUGGGCGGAAGCCUGAUGCAGCGACGCCGCGUGAGGGAUGACGGCCUUCGGGUUGUAAACCUCUUUCAGCAGGGACGAAGCGUAAGUGACGGUACCUGCAGAAGAAGCACCGGCUAACUAUGUG